CCUACGGGAGGCAGCAGUGGGGAAUUUUGGACAAUGGGCGAAAGCCUGAUCCAGCAAUGCCGCGUGUGGGAAGAAGGCCUUCGGGUUGUAAACCACUUUUGUACGGAACGAAACGGUCUGCUUUAAUAAAGUGGGCUAAUGACGGUACCGUAAGAAUAAGCACCGGCUAACUACGUGCCAGCAGCCGCGGUAAUACGUAGGGUGCGAGCGUUAAUCGGAAUUACUGGGCGUAAAGCGUGCGCAGGCGGUUAUAUAAGACAGUUGUGAAAUCCCCGGGGNUCAACCUGGGAAUUGCAUCUGUGACUGUAUAGCUAGAGUACGGUAGAGGGGGUAUGGAAUUCCGCGUGUAGCAGUGAAAUGCGUAGAUAUGCGGAGGAACACCGAUGGCGAAGGCAAUCCCCUGGACCUGUACUGACGCUCAUGCACGAAAGCGUGGGGAGCAAACAGGAUUAGAUACCCUGGUAGUCCACGCCCUAAACGAUGUCAACUGUUGUUGGGUGCGAUUAGUACUCAGUAACGAAGCUAACGCGUGAAGUUGACGCCNGGGAGUACGGCGCAAGGUUGAACUUAAGAGUGAGCGUG
rnacentral:rRNA from 1 species